UUUUUUUCGUAUGUCCGAUAACUUGCAUGCCAUUGGUGAAAAGAAAGAAAGAGAAAAGAAAAUGAAUAAAUAAAAAAAAUGGUCUGGAAUGGUGUCGCGUCAUAUGUGGCAGACUGUCCGGACGCGUUCGUGAGUCCUCAUGUCUCUUUUAUCUGGUCACUGACCAGGUGUGUCCGCGGACGUAUAAGGGGUCAUUUAAGGGGUCCGACUGUAGAUGUUGUAAGAGCAUUUUUUUAGAACGAAGGUUCAAGAAAAACCCGGCUUUGAAUUAAAA
rnacentral:lncRNA from 1 species